GCAUAUCAAUAAGCGGAGGAAAAGAAACUAACAAGGAUUCCCCUAGAACUGCGAGUGAAGCGGGAAAAGCUCAAAUUUAAAAUCUGAUGGUCUUUAUGGCCUUCCGAGUUGAUGCUAGAGAAG
rnacentral:rRNA from 1 species